rnacentral:rRNA from 1 species
CGGUUGACUGUGCAAAAUCUUCGGAUGAGCUGUGGUAAGAAGUGAAAAGCUAAUCGAGCUUGGUAAUAGCUGGUUCUCUCCGAAAUAACUUUAGGGUUAGCGUUUUGCGUUAAUGAUUCCGGGGGUAGAGCACUGACAGAAAUAUCGCGGGGAAACUCAGAUAUUUCCAUCAAACUCCGAAUACCGGAAUUAUUGCAAAGCAGUAAGACUACGGGCGCUAAGGUCCGUGGUCGUGAGGGGAAAAGCCCAGAUCUUCGUCUAAGGUCCUUAAAUUAAGCUAAGUGCAAAACAAGGAAGUGAAGUUCCUCUGAUAGCUAGGAGGUUAGCUCAGAAGCAGCUAUCCUUUAAANNGUGCGUAACAGCUUACUAGCUAAGGAAUUUUGCGCCGUAAAUACACGGGGCUCAAGCUUAAUACCGAAGACAAGGGUUUCCCGCAUUUAUGCGGGGAGCGGUAGGAGAGCGUUCCCAAUGCGGCGAAGCCGAACCGUAAGGUUUGGUGGAGCGUUGGGAAGUGAGAAUGUUGGCAUGAGUAACCGCAAUGCGGGUGAGAUCCCCGCACACCGAAAACCCAAGGUUUCCGCGGCAAUGGUGAUCAUCCGCGGGUUAGGCGGUCCUAAGGUCAAGCCGAGAGGCGCAGCCGAUGGACAUUCGGUUAAUAUUCCGAUCCUUCCUUUUUUUGCCGAGAGAGUGACGAAGUUUAGUAAUCCGAGCGGGUUAUUGGAUUCCCGUCGGCAGUUCGACUCCCGAUUCCGAGCGCAAGCGAGGGAAAGGGAACAGGAUUGACGAAAAGUCCCGGUUCGCCGGGGCGGAUUCGGACCAGCAAACUUCCCGGAAAAACCUCUCAAGGGUUAUCAAAAAAAGGGAACCGUACCGUAAACCGACACAGGUGGGUCGGCGUGAAAACGCCAAGGUGAACGGAUGAAAGUUCGUGAAGGAACUAGGCAAACAAGUAUGCGUAACUUCGGAAUAUGCAUUCCCCCCACUUCGGUGGGGGGCGCAGCGAAAGACUCUCAGGCGGCUGUUUAUCAAAAACACAGGUCCCUGCUAAACUCGCAAGAGGAAAUAUAGGGGCUGAGACCUGACCAGUGCCCGUGUGUCAAAACUGGCGGUGGUAUCGUCGCAAGACGGUAUCGCUAACCGGUCUAAGCUACGGGUGAACGUCCGCGGUAACUCUGACCGUGUUAAAGUAGCGUAGUCCCUUGUCGCGUAAGUUGCGACCCGCAUGAAAGGUAUAACGACCUGAGAACUGUCUCCACGAAUUAUCCGGUGAAAAUGUAAUGGAAGUGAAGAUACUUCCUACCUGCGGCUAGACGGAAAGACCCCGGGAGCUUUACUGCAGGGUGAUAUUGGGUUUUGGAUUUUGAUGCGUAGCAUAGUGGUGAGGCGUUGAGAUCUCGUUUUCGGACGGGGUGGAGCCGACAGUGAAAUAGCCAUCUUCAAUAUUCAUCAUCCUAAUCCUAAGGGUGACAGUGUCACUUGGGCAGUUUAAGUGGGGCGCUUGCCUCCUAAAAAGUAACGGAGGCGUUUAAAGGUCAGCUAAGCACGGAUGGAAAUCGUGCGUGUCGCGUAAAGGCAAAAGCUGGCUUGACUGCAAGGCGGAUGUGCCGCGCAGGCGCGAAAGCGGAACUUAGUGAACCGAUGCUGGUUAUUAGAAUCGGCAGAGAUUAUCAAACAAAAGUUACCCCGGGGAUAACAGGCUGGUACGACCCACGAGUCCAUAUCAACGGUCGUGUUCGGCACCUCGAUGUCGGCUCAUCAUAGCGCGGGGGUGGAGAAGCUCCCAAGCGUCCGGCUGUUCGCCGGUUAAAAUGGUACGUGAGCUGGGUUCAGACCGUCGCGAGACAGGUCGGUCCCUAUCUACCGCAGGCGUUUGAGUUUUGAGGAGAGUCGUCCCUAGUACGAGAGGACCGGGAUGAACUGACCUCUGGUGUACCGGUUGUUCCGCCAGGAGCACCGCCGGGUAGCUAAGUCGGGAACGGAUAAGAACUGAAAGCAUCUAAGUUCGAAGCCGGCUCCAAGAUAAGAACUCUCAGUUUCCUCCAAGAACAGGAGGUUGAUAGGCUGCAGGUGUAAGUCCCGCAAGGGAUUCAGCCGAGCAGUACUAAUAAACGAUCAAACGCCU